rnacentral:rRNA from 1 species
AGAGUUUGAUCCUGGCUCAGGAUAAACGCUGGCGGCGUGCUUAACACAUGCAAGUCGAACGAAGUUUUUCUUUCGGGAUAAACUUAGUGGCGGACGGGUGAGUAACGCGUGGGUAACCUGCCCUGUACAGGGGGACAACAGCUGGAAACGGCUGCUAAUACCGCAUAAGCCCUUAGCACUGCAUGGUGCAUAGGGAAAAGGAGUAAUCCGGUACAGGAUGGACCCGCGUCUGAUUAGCCAGUUGGCAGGGUAACGGCCUACCAAAGCGACGAUCAGUAGCCGAUCUGAGAGGAUGUACGGCCACAUUGGGACUGAGACACGGCCCAGACUCCUACGGGAGGCAGCAGUGGGGAAUAUUGCACAAUGGAGGAAACUCUGAUGCAGCGACGCCGCGUGAGUGAAGAAGUAUUUCGGUAUGUAAAGCUCUAUCAGCAGGGAAGAAAAUGACGGUACCUGGCUAAGAAGCACCGGCUAAAUACGUGCCAGCAGCCGCGGUAAUACGUAUGGUGCAAGCGUUAUCCGGAUUUACUGGGUGUAAAGGGAGCGUAGGUGGCAAGGCAAGCCAGAAGUGAAAACCCGGGGCUCAACCGCGGGAUUGCUCUUGGAACUGUCAUGCUAGAGUGCAGGAGGGGUGAGCGGAAUUCCUAGUGUAGCGGUGAAAUGCGUAGAUAUUAGGAGGAACACCGGAGGCGAAGGCGGCUCACUGGACUGUAACUGACACUGAGGCUCGAAAGCGUGGGGAGCAAACAGGAUUAGAUACCCUGGUAGUCCGCACGGUAAACGAUGGAUGCCCGCUGUUGGUCUGAAUAGGUCAGCGGCCAAGCGAAAGCAUUAAGCAUCCCACCUGGGGAGUACGCCGGCAACGGUGAAACUCAAAGGAAUUGACGG